rnacentral:lncRNA from 1 species
AAAAUUAUUACGCUCCAUAUGAAAUUAUGAAUGAUCUAAAAUAAGAUUAAAUAGUUAAAAUUAAAUCAUAAACGUACAAUAUAUAGCUAGGGCCCUGGACGUUGAAAAAAUACUUGUGUUUCAGGAUUUGCCAAUUGGUUCAAUCUCAUACGGAGGACUUCAAUUCAAUUCGUUGUCUUUAUCCCUUAAGCUAAAGUAUAUGCAAGCAAGAAAACUUUUUAUAUUCUUUGCAUAUGUAAAAUCCGUCUCUUUCGAGUAUUUUUUAAGAAAAUAAAACUAUAUGUAAACAUGCAAUUUGUAUUUAAGUUGUAGACUUAAUUGUAGCUAGCUCCUUAAUUAAUCCAUAUCCACAAGUCUAACUCAUUCAUUGCUUAAUUUUAUUAUUUAUUUUAUUCUGGUAGCUUUUUAAUUAUAAAAAAUUACGACCGAACCAUAUACGUACAUGCAUGUAUGUAGUGUAGGUUAUUACUGAAUAAUUAAUAACCAUUAACUGAACAGUGUUUUUUUGUGCAAAUUUAGU